rnacentral:RNase_P_RNA from 1 species
AGGGUUUAAGAGGUGGUUGCUCUGGAAGAUCUUUGAAAAAGAUCUUCCAGGGAGGAAAGUCCGGGCUCCACAGGGGAGGACGCCGGGUAACACCCGGAGGGAGUAAUCCCUGGAAAGGGCCACAGAAAACAGACCGCCAGCGGCUAAGAGAGCUAAAAGCUCUCUUAGUGCGGGCAAGGGUGAAAAGGUGGGGUAAGAGCCCACCGCGCAGGAUGGUAACAUCCUGCGGCACGGUAACCCCCGUCCGGAGCAAGGCCAAACAGAGCGCAAGGGUGCCCCGCCCAAAAGCGCUCAGGUAGGCCGCUUGAGGAGAGGGGUAACCCUCUCCCCAGAGAAAUAACCACCGCCCGGGAACAUCCCGGGUAACAGAACCCGGCUUACUUAAACCCUACCC